GUAAUUGCACGCGUGUUACACGCGGGAGAGUGUUACAUGUGCAGCCUGAUCCAUGCCCUGUUUUUUCAAGCUAAGCAACUCUUCGUUCUCUCUCUCUCUAACCGGUCGAGGGUCGGGGGGCAGGGGUAUCCGUUCGGAGGAGAGAGAGAGGAGAGAGCACUCGGGAGAGAGGGGGCGCUGAGGAGCGGCGGCGGCGGCGGUGCCGGUGAGCGCGGCCGGCUAAGGCAGCUCAGGCUGUCGCCCACCGUCUGACUUCUGGAAGGGAGCGAGACGAGGAAGGAGGGUAGGGAGGUCUAGGCCGGAGGGCGCGAGCGACGGCUGGGAGUCGGUACCGAUCCCAAUGCCCGCGCCGCAGGGGAAGCAGCGGCCGCUCCGAAACCGCCGGACGCCACCGAGCAGGGCGGGUGCACACCGAGGCGGAGUACCUGCAAGGAGAAGUCGCCGCAGCGGCCUGAUCGAGGUGCGCGCCCAAGCGGUUCCACUCACGCUACGACUACUCUCUGCCGUAGGCUCCUGUAGUAGUGCGAGUUGAGCUCGACGAGGGGGUGGCAGGGCGUCGGGCGACGACGAGGGUGGGGGGCGGGGGAGAGGAGAGGGCAGCGGCCCUUUACCGAUGUGGUGGUCGAGGCGGCGGAGUUGCAGGAGCUGGUGGUCCACGGAAGGGUCUGGGCGCCAGAUAGAUAGGGGGCAAGACGAGCUAACACGCCUAAAAAAAAGGUUACAGCUAAACCUCUACUCGAUCGUCAAAAGCUAUGCUAGUUUAAACGACCUGAUCGGAACACCUCAAAAAAAAAGGCAUCAGCCACCUAAGCAGCUCUUUUAAUUCGGAAAAGCACAUAGUCGAAACUACAAAGACAUAUUGUCCAAUUGGUUUUGAAACGUUCAACUACGAGAGUCCCAUCCUGAGGCUUCAGACUGUUCGUGAAGGCGAAGUUGGUCUCAGUGGAUGUCGUUAUCCACGAGGUUACGUAUAAGCUGAACAACACGAUGUCUCGGUCACGAGGUUACGUAUAAGCUGAACAACACGAUGUUUCGGUCUUCGCGAUGGUCACCUUUGUGGGAGUAGCCUAUACGAACAACUAAGGAAGCCCUCCGGAUGACGUAAGCCUAAAUAACAAGGCAUGACCUUCACGGACUUCUCGAACUUAGCAGGUAAAACAUAAUCUUACUCUAAAUUCUAAGUCAUGUCCUCAGUUCUACAAUUACUCUCCGCUAGAUCUUACUAAUGUCCAUAAUUACUUCAUCUGGGGUAAUCCACCUAACCAAGUUUUACCUUUUCGGACGACCAUUCUACCCUACUACCGAGUCUGACAUUGUCGGUUUUAUUUGGUAGAGGUACCCUCUAGCUCUAUCAACCACCGAGUCAGAGGUAACGGGUCAGACAGUUUUAGGUCAAGAUUUGAUCGAUUUGACACGGGAGCCCCGUUAAAUCUGCAGAGUUUGAUUUCGUUGAGCUCAACGCCACCACCAGGCGUUGAGGUAGUGGCAGAAGGAGCCGUCCUCGUAGGCGGCGACGACGAGCGGCAGACAGGUGCCGUGGCCACAACCAGAGGAAGAGUGGAAGGCACGAGAGAAGGGUAGGGCGGAGGGUGACGGCGGUGGUGACGAGCUCCUACGGGACACCUAAACCUAAAAAGUGUUAGCCAUGUGUCAUUUCAUGAAAACCUAACCGGCCCGCCACUCGACGUCACGGCGAUCGAGCAGCUGCUGCCGAUGCUACGGUAGACACCGCAGGGAACCAAGAAAGAGGAGCUGUAGCUGGAAGAACUGCCAUACCAGAAGGAGGAGAAGGGGAGGGAAUUAAAGAUACCAAAAAUUCAACCAAGUCAUCAACUAAGUGCCAGGUACUCAAACCUAUUUUGCUGUCCGCCGCCGUCUUUCUCGGCAAGGUGCUGCUUAGAGACCAUGUUACCGAGGAAGGAGCCAAAGGGGCCAAGACCUAAGUUCAAGGAUUAUUUACCUAUGACAAAAAAGAACUAACACUGAAAACCUUAAAAAAUAAACUAUCUACUCUCCCGUUCGUUUUCCACUAGUUAGUUACCUCUGCUUCAUAAACAGUUUAACGAACGUUCCCACCACUCUUAAAUAACCAGCAGUAAACAGAUCACAGUAUUAGAAUCUCGGAAAAGACUAAGAGAUCUUACAACCUUGUCAGAACAACAAAGUCAAAUGUAAACCUACCAGUACCAGACACGUCUACUUCAAGAAAACCUAAUUAAAAAGGUGGGAUUGUCAAGGAAGGGACAAUAUAGAGUCCGACAUGCUAGAGACGUCUAACGGCGAAGAAACAAGACGGCCACCUCCAAGUCACAUAGUAACGUUCAAGGAAUGUGGCCGUUUAAGUCAUAAAAACAUAAAAAACCUGCGUGCGGACAAGAAGCUGAUAUUUUGUCGUCUCUAAAGAAAAAAAGAGCUCAGAUUAGUAAAAAACUACGUAACGUCGAAACGAUAGUUUGAGAGUUUUUCCUUUUUCGUUGAAAUAAGAUUAAAAACCUCUAGGAAGUACAUCUCAGUGAUGGAGCUGUCUCUGUUUAUACGUUAGCUCUUAUAUAAGCUACCCAAAAGUGAGGAGUCCGUUUCGAACCUCCUAUAAAAAUGACCAAGUUGCAAACGAAAUAACGAAAGAAUGGAAAGCAAGAAGUUCUGUUAUAAAAGGAUCGUCACGAGCUAUUGAAAUUUAGGUAGAAAAACAAGAAACGUAAUAGUGUUUUGUCACAACAAGAUGGAAAAACAAAAACUUAAAACUAACUAGUACUCGUUGCUGUUACGUUGGAUGUUCAUUGAUAAUACAAAAGAGGUCAGGAGACAGGUAUAAGAUAAUUAACCACUGAAUAGAUAUGCAUCAAUUAUGUGAGCCAACAUCAAAAUAUAGUACAAAGGAAAUCCAAACAUGCAUCCUACAAGGAAAAUAAAAAAUCUGAGAUUACAAGGACUACUGAUGUAUGUAGAACGACAAAACCUUUGACGAAGAACCCUUAUUACAACCUAGAAAGGACUCUACCAAAUGAUAUAAUUAGGGAACUUUAGUAAUCCGGUCAUUAUUUCCAACGUAAAGUAGUGUAACUCCAUUGUAAGAUUAAACACGAUAGAGUCCAAGUCUUCCAACCACUUUGGGCUUCCAGUGCCCUAGUUGUGGAGAACCACGUUUGUUGGAAAGUGAAUACUAUAAACAUAAGACAACUUUGACGUUUUAUAGUAAGGUCCCAACUUACGGAUUUACAACUAUAGACGUACGAAGAUUUAAAUGUAGCACUUAGUAUAAAUACGACGAUGCAAAAAGGGUUCUAAACAUAAUAAAGCA
rnacentral:rRNA from 1 species